rnacentral:rRNA from 1 species
UACAGAGGGUGCAAGCGUUAAUCGGAAUUACUGGGCGUAAAGCGUGCGUAGACGGUUCUGUAAGUCGGAUGUGAAAUCCCCGGGCUCAACCUGGGAAUUGCAUUCGAAACUGCUGAGCUAGGGUGCGGUAGAGGGAAGCGGAAUUUCCGGUGUAGCGGUGAAAUGCGUAGAUAUCGGAAGGAACAUCAGUGGCGAAAGCGGCUUCCUGGACCAGCACCGACGUUCAGGCACGAAAGCGUGGGGAGCAAACAGG